rnacentral:rRNA from 1 species
CAGUAGCCACGGUAAUACAGAGGGUGCGAGCGUUAAUCGGAUUUACUGGGCGUAAAGCGUGCGUAGGCGGCUUCUUAAGUCGGAUGUGAAAUCCCUGAGCUUAACUUAGGAAUUGCAUUCGAUACUGGGAAGCUAAAGUAUGGGAGAGGAUGGUAGAAUUCCAGGUGUAGCGGUGAAAUGCGUAGAGAUCUGGAGGAAUACCGAUGGCGAAGGCAGCCAUCUGGCCUAAUACUGACGCUGAGGUACGAAAGCAUGGGGAGCAAACAGGAUUAGAUACCCGAGUAGUCCCUGUCUCUUAUAC